GUUGAUACACCGGUUCUCGUAUGAUCACCGAAAUUAAGCAAGGUCCGACCUAGUCAGUACCUAGAUGUCUGACCGCUUGGGAAUAUCAGGUGCUAUA